rnacentral:lncRNA from 1 species
CAGUUUACGAUCUGGUAGCACUUGGCCACCCGCCAUUCAUUACAUUUUUUCAUUAGUUCCCUUGAUGUUCUUGACCUUUUGUUCUUCCAGAUGAAUUUUGUUAGCAUUUGUUCUCGUUCUAUAAGAUAGUUUCUUGGUGGUUUGAUAGGCAUGCACUGAAGGAAUAAAUCAAGUUCGGUGAUUGGCACUUUUAUUACAUUAGCUCCGCCUACCCAUGAGCACUUAAUGUUUUUCCAGUUGUUUAGAUCGAACCUUUUUUUGCGUGAAAAGUGUUUUGUCAUUGUGUUCAUGGGAUUCCUGCCAACAGAUUCAGGUUGUCAAAAGUGAUUUUAAGUGGAGUUUCUCUUUCUAACUCUUGCUGCUGAGCUCCUCACUGUCCCCCUCCAGUCUGAGGGCCUUGAGAGCAGGUGAAGCCGGAAUUGGCCUAUAUGACCUCAGCAGGGGAGGGGGAACCUGUGACCAGAGUCAAGGAGGGGAGGUCCAGCUCCGCCCCCAGCAAAGGAGUAUUUCUGGUCUGGGCUGGUUUGGGAGAUGUGAUAUCCUCCUGUGAAGAAAGGAAGACAUCAGCAUUCCAAGAAAGCUCUGCCACCUGUGGCUCUGCCAGCUUCCAGCCUUCAGACCCUUCCUCCUUGACCAUGCUACGGCGUCUUCAAUUAUUUAUCAUCCUCCUGGGCCUUCUGGACCUGUCACUGUCGGGAGUCUGGACCAGCCCUCUCCCUGAGGAGGCACCGGACGAUGAUGCUUACCUUCCAGAAAAUGCCCUUGAGUCGGCUGAAAUGCCCCCCGUCCCCAUAGGAGGCCGAGAAAAACGGGCCUUAGAAAAGGGCUGCUUCUUUGAAUUGUGUGACCCCGAAGAACCAGUCAAUACCUGAGUGGGGCCCAAAUCCUGAAGCUCCUGCUCCUGGUGACUUCAGCGGCUCUAAAUCCUUUGGCUGAGGGGCUCCCAGAGCCUGGCCCUGGCUCCUGAGGUCAGUGGGGGGAGCUGGGCCAGGAUGGGAUGAGCCACUCAGGUCAGACCCAGAGCAACCCAUCAAUAAAGAUUCACUUGUGUAUGUGUACA